CCUACGGGAGGCAGCAGUGAGGAAUCUUGGUCAAUGGACGAGAGUCUGAACCAGCCAAGUAGCGUGAAGGAUGAAUGCCCUAUGGGUUGUAAACUUCUUUUAUAAAGGAAUAAAACGAGGCACGUGUGCCUUUUUGCAUGUACUUUAUGAAUAAGGAUCGGCUAACUCCGUUCCAGCAGCCGCGGUAAUACGGAGGAUCCGAGCGUUAUCCGGAUGUCUUGGUUUUAACGGGUGCGUAUAUGGGUUGUUAAGUCAGUUGUGAAAGUUUGCGGCUAAACCGUAAAAUUGCAAUUGAUACUGGCAGUCUUGAGUACAGUUGAGGUAGGCGGAAUUCGUGGUGUAGCGGUGAAAUGCUUAGAUAUCACGAAGAACCCCGAUUGCGAAGGCAGCUUACUAAACUGUGACUGACAUUGAUGCUCGAAAGUGUGGGUAUCAAACAGGAUUAGAUACCCGGGUAGUC
rnacentral:rRNA from 1 species